rnacentral:rRNA from 1 species
GCGUUUUUCGGAUUCAUUGGGCGUAAAGGGGGCGUAGGUGGCGUGGUCAGUCGGGUGUGAAAUUUCGGAGCUUAACUCCGAAACUGCAUUCGAUACUGCCGUGCUUGAGGACUGGAGAGGAGACUGGAAUUUACGGUGUAGCAGUGAAAUGCGUAGAGAUCGUAAGGAAGACCAGUGGCGAAGGCGGGUCUCUGGACAGUUCCUGACACUGAGGCACGAAGGCCAG